GACGAACGCUGGCGGCGUGCUUAACACAUGCAAGUCGAACGGAAAGGCCCUGCUUUUGUGGGGUGCUCGAGUAGCGAACGGGUGAGUAACACGUGAGUAACCUGCCCUUGACUUUGGGAUAACUUCAGGAAACUGGGGCUAAUACCGGAUAGGAGCUCCUGCUGCAUGGUGGGGGUUGGAAAGUUUCGGCGGCUGGGGAUGGACUCGCGGCUUAUCAGCUUGUUGGUGGGGUAGUGGCUUACCAAGGCUUUGACGGGUAGCCGGCCUGAGAGGGUGACCGGCCACAUUGGGACUGAGAUACGGCCCAGACUCCUACGGGAGGCAGCAGUGGGGAAUAUUGCACAAUGGGCGGAAGCCUGAUGCAGCAACGCCGCGUGCGGGAUGACGGCCUUCGGGUUGUAAACCGCUUUCGCCUGUGACGAAGCGUGAGUGACGGUAAUGGGUAAAGAAGCACCGGCUAACUACGUG
rnacentral:rRNA from 1 species